UGCGUCCCAUUGGCUACAGGCGGGAGGACCGCGCAAAGCGGAGCGCCGAUUGGCCGCGGGGGAAGGCGGCGGCCCGCCCCGCGGGGGUCGCGUGACGCCAGGUGGCGGGGCGGCCGCGGCGCUGUGCUGUGCCGUGCUCGCUGUCCCCGCUGCCCGCGCUGUGCUCGCUGUCCCCGGGACGGUGGGUCCGUGGCUGUCGCGCUGCGGGACCCCUCGUGCGCCUGCGUGGUUUUGUCUUCUCGCAGUUGGGAGCUGGGGAAUUUCUGCAGCGUGGCAAGAACUGGGGCUGGGGGAGUCCGCGGGGAGUGUGCGCCGGGACCCCAGGGCCAGUAGCCCGUCACGCCGCGUGGCAAGAGUCCCGCCCGGGGAGAUGGGCCGGGCUGCCCCACGCGUGGCUCUCCUGCGGUCUGAGCCCUCCUUGGCCCACCCUGACGUGGGACCUGCCGGUGCUAUGCGACCCGGGGGACACCGUGUUGUUCCGGGGGGCAGCGGGAGCGGCGUGUUCGGCGCUGGGUCCUGGCCUCCUGCUGUACGGGGCUCCGAUGCCACACACAGAGACAAUGAUGUUCUCAGAUUUGCCGGCGGUGAGCUCAGGAGAGCGGCGGGGCGGCCAUCGGUAGGGGCUGGGGGAUGGACAGGGCUGGGUGGCUGCACCAGAGCGGGCGACAGCCGACCUGUGCGUGAAAAGAUGAGACUUUAUUAAUUAAAUGAAUCUACUCUUAAUAGGAUUAUUUUUCACAUAAUAAAAUACACCAAGGAUUCUUCAGUGUUCUCCAAGUGAAGGAAAACUCUGGUAUUAUAACUGCGUGUGUUUGCAGCAGCAGGGCGGUCUGGUGUCCACAAAACGCAGCGGUCAGUGCGCUGGACAGUCAGCUUGCAGAAGUGCAACCCAGAUCUUCACCAGCCUCUGCUGGUAUUGGUUCUCAGCUAACCUCAAAAUAUGUCAUUACAGGUGGUUUUGGACAGCUUUAAUUCUCCUGUACUUAGUGGGGAUUUUCUGCAUUGUCUUCAAGUAGCAUUUCAAGUGAAGUGUUUAAUGGUAACAAAAUGCUUUGAGAUAAAUAAGCAGUUACAGGAGACCAUUUGUUUUCUUACAAUUUCUUGGCGCAGAUCUUUUAUUAACAGACACUUAUAGUUGUGUAGUGUAUAUCGCAACUAAUCUCCUUCAAACUUCUCUGACAUUUGUUCCUGUUCAACUUAAAACAUUUUUGGCACACUGCAGGAUCACAUUAUUCCAUUGUGUUGUCAAUCAUUUUUGGUUUAGAUCAGCAAAUCGUUAACAAUUACUUCCUUCAUAUCUUCAAAGACUUGGGCUGUGAUCCUUCCUUUUGUGAUCCAUCAGCAGCUGAAACAUUCCAGAAAGGAAACUAGUUGAAUGUAUGUGGUUGGUUUUUGAAUAAAUUAUUCUCAAAGACAGUAAUUACAAUGCCUAGAGGUGCUAGACACCUCAAAAGGUAGCCAAGUUUCUGGAUUAAUAGAUCUUUUUUUUCAUUUUUUGAGAUAAUAUUUUAAAUAUUCAUCUCACUUCUCUUUUAAAUAUCUCACAAGAGUAAACAAAUAUCCAGCUAAUAAUUUCCUUCUUUUUAUGCUGAGUACCACCCAAGUACUUUUUAAUAUCUUAAGCCUUAACCUCAUUAAUUAAUUAGAAAAAAACACUCUGACUUCUGAUACUUUAUAGGCAAACUUUUAGUUGAGGCCAGGCUGUUGUAGGAGAAACUUCAGUUCCGUAGGAUGAAAGUGCUGACAGAUCCUAAGCAACAAAACUCCAAAACAAGGCUUCCAGCCAGAAAGAUGAAUUGCUAUUGUACCCAUCCAAGUAUUACCCUUCUUUUCCUAUUGUCGGGUUUGGCAAGAGCGAGUUGAGCCCUCCGUUGGUUUUGAAAAAGAGCAUAUUCUCCACAAACCCAAAACACAGCAACUCCUGUAAACUGAACACUCCUGUGUGGCAGCAGAUGAGAUGAAAUGGAGAGAACGAAGAACUCUCCACAGGCUGGUGCUUUUUCCAAACCCCAAGGAGACAACCAUCAACAGAGGACAUUGUCCCGCAGGACUUUCAUUGAGAACUAAGUAUGCCAAUGCUGUUAAAUCAAUUUGAGUCUGAUAGUCUAAGAGCCAGACGAGCAAAAGACAGCUGGAGAGUUACAUUCAGUGUUCCAGCAGACAGGCUCGUGGCCGCCACGAGGGACCGGCUGAAUGGAAGUGGAACCAGAGGAAAAGCUGUUUCAGUCAUUGCAAACUGAGGAUACUGGAAAAGAUGUAAAAAUUGAUUCAUUUAUUAAAAUCAUAUUUAUUUUGUU